GGGGUUGUGGCUCAGAGGUAGAGUGCUCACCUAGCAUGCAUGAGGCACUGGGUUUGAUACCCAGCUACCACA
rnacentral:tRNA from 1 species